rnacentral:rRNA from 1 species
UACGUAGGGUGCAAGCGUUAAUCGGAAUUACUGGGCGUAAAGCGUGCGCAGGCGGCUUUGCAAGACAGGUGUGAAAUCCCCGGGCUCAACCUGGGAACUGCAUUUGUGACUGCAUGGCUAGAGUGCGGCAGAGGGGGAUGGAAUUCCGCGUGUAGCAGUGAAAUGCGUAGAUAUGCGGAGGAACACCGAUGGCGAAGGCAAUCCCCUGGGCCUGCACUGACGCUCAUGCACGAAAGCGUGGGGAGCAAACAGG